rnacentral:lncRNA from 1 species
AGAGUGGUGAGGAGGAGGACUAGGAGCUCCGCGGACCUUAAACUGCCGGAAAGCCCCGAAAGCAAGAUUGUAAUUUUCUAUGAAUCACAUGAUGGAUGAACAUAUUGCCUGCAGCCUACUGUACAUGAGGGAGCGGGAUCUUUGCGUCACGUGCCUAGGGACAAGACCUGUGAACUACCUGCCCUCCAGGACACCUACAGCACCCGGUGUCACAGGAAUGCCAAAAAGAUCAUCAAGGACAACAACCACCUGAGCCACUGCCUGUUCACCCCGCUACCAUUCAGAAUGCGAGGUCAUUACAGGUGCAUCAAAGCUGGGACCGAGAGACUGAAAAAUAGCUUCUAUCUCAAGGUCAUCAGACUGUUAAACAGCCAUCACUAACACAGUGAGGCUGCUGCCUACAUACAGACUUGAAAUCAUUGGCCACUUUAAUAAAUGGAUCACUAGUCACUUUAAUAAUGCCACUUUAAUAAUGUUUACAUAUCUUGCAUUACUCAUCUCAUAUGAAUAUACUGUAUUUUAUACCAUCUAUUGCAUCUUGCCUGUGCCGCUCAGUCAUUGCUCAUCCAUAUAUGUAUAUGUACAUAUUCUUAUGCUAUUCCUUUACUUAGAUUUGUGUGUAUUAGGUAGUUAUUGUGGAAUUGUUAGAUUACUUGUUAGAUAUCGCUGCACUGUCGGAAGUAGAAGCAUAAGCAUUUCGCUACACUCGCAAUAACAUCUGCUAAUUAUGUGUAUGUGACCAAUAAAAUUAGAUUUGAUUUGA